GAACUUUUCAUCUUGAACUUCUUCUUUUUCUUCCUCGGCAAGCCCUCUUCGGAGAAAGUUCAGAUCUGAUUGUAGUAUUGAUUGUAUCUUCUGUCUUCUGGAGUCAGAAAUCCUCCUCACGGGUUCGUGUCGGUCAUGUGACACACUUCUGGUCAUGUGCCUUCAAACCAGGAAGUGGAUGUUCCUGCCUGCUUGCGCUCACCUGUUGAACUCCAGGCUCCGUCUGCAGACAUCAACUGAAGAUGUUUCGACCUUCACACAUCGGACCAAAAAGUUACGAGACAGGAGAGCCGAGCCGGAGGAGGAAGAGGAGCGUGAGAGCACAAGAACGGACGUCCAGACUUAUUCUGAAGGGACUUUUAAAGGAAACGGCUUCGACAUUGAAAAGAACAGAGGACGUGGUUUCGAUCGAGCAGACCGAGGCCUCUCACUGGUUGUUGGCAGGUGUCCAGCAGCCAAUCACAGGCCUCCGCCAAUUAGAGCCAAAGAGGCCUCCCCGUGAACACGACUGGACACCAGACUGGGACUGAACACAGCCUCCGAGAUCGACGGAGGUCAGUUUGAGGACAGACGAUCAAGGAUGGAGGCGAUUUACAGGACUACUACUGAAGAGGGGUUAGAGAGAGUCAGGGCAUCAACAAUCGGUGAAAACGGCACGUAGACACGAAAUAUUUUCACAUCUUUUCUUGGUGAAUUGAGGAUUUAUUCUAAUCAAACCAGAGUUGAUUGGGAAAAGACGAACCAAGAAUGUUUUGGCACAUUUUAUUCAGUUUAUUUUAAGUGUUAAAUGAAGCCUAAAUUCAGACGGUGUAUGGUUUUAUUGUUCUGUUGAGGUAGGGGAAUAGGUGUAAAGUAUCUCCUUUCUAAACAAUUUGUGAGUUUAUUUUCUUGACUUAUUGGACUAAGAAGUGAAGCUAAAGCUACUCGGACUAUCAUGCAUUACAUGGCGGUUUAACAAGGCGAGUCGGGGGCUAGCUGGUAAGCAAUUUCUGCAACAUAGACAUCUUUGACACAACGUCAAGACUCUGUUGAUAAUGUUUGUUCAUUACCUUUUAAUUUUAAACUAAAAUUCUGGCUGUAUUUUAAAAAUGACUCCUUUUAAAUGAUGAAAAAUGUUCUCUCGUCACAUCUAUUCAAGUUCCAGAAAUUGCUAAGAAAGCACAUAAAAAACUGUAGAAAAUACAAUAACAAUAUUUAACAUAAAUUUUAAGGUUAUGGCACGAAAACAAAGUCAUUCGCCUUCUUAACACACACACACUGACUGCUAAGGACCAUUUAUUUAAAAAGGGAGGAAAGAAUAAAUAAAUGUUUUCAGUAGCUGGAAAGAUAUCAACUCCUUAGCUGGAAGGCUACACACACACACACACACACACACACACACACACACACACACACACACUGAGUCUUGCUUCAGUACCAACACAAAUAACCGGGCAGAAAAAAAACAUCAUCUUGGUAAAAAUGUAGCGCAGACUGCCAAGGCCACGGUCCUCCCUUUUAUCACAAUAAAUCAUAGCAAGAAGUUGGAGUAGUGUGUGUCCGUGUGUGUGUGUGUGUGUGUGUGUGUGUGUGUGGGCGGCUGUGUAAGCGCUGCCUUUGUUUUCCAUCCCACUUAUAAAGGUCAGGGCCCUCGGGAGUCAUUAUAUCACCCCUGAUAUUAAUGCCUAUGAGCUGAGAUUAUGACUCUGUGUGUGUGUGUGUGUGUGUGUGUGUGUUACCCAUGUGUUUCUACUGAUAUAAUUUGUCUGAAAAGUAGAGUUCAUUACUGGAGUGUGUGUGUGUGUUUUUGUAUUUUUCCGAGUUCAU
ensembl:lncRNA